CCUACGGGUGGCAGCAGUGGGGAAUAUUGGACAAUGGGCGAAAGCCUGAUCCAGCCAUGCCGCGUGUGUGAAGAAGGCCUUCGGGUUGUAAAGCACUUUCAGUGGGGAAGAAAGCCUUGGGGCUAAUACCCUCGAGGAAGGACAUCACCCACAGAAGAAGCACCGGCUAACUCCGUGCCAGCAGCCGCGGUAAUACGGAGGGUGCGAGCGUUAAUCGGAAUUACUGGGCGUAAAGCGCGCGUAGGCGGUCUGAUAAGCCGGUUGUGAAAGCCCCGGGCUCAACCUGGGAACGGCAUCCGGAACUGUCAGGGUAGAGUGCAGGAGAGGAAGGUAGAAUUCCCGGUGUAGCGGUGAAAUGCGUAGAGAUCGGGAGGAAUACCAGUGGCGAAGGCGGCCUUCUGGACUGACACUGACGCUGAGGUGCGAAAGCGUGGGUAGCAAACAGGAUUAGAUACCCCAGUAGU
rnacentral:rRNA from 1 species